GGAUGGGUGCCGGAGCGGUUUAACGGAACAGUCUUGAAAACUGUCGUAUCCUAACGGGUACCGUGAGUUCGAAUCUCACCCCAUCCGCCA
rnacentral:tRNA from 1 species